UACGGAGGAUUCAAGCGUUAUCCGGAUUUAUUGGGUUUAAAGGGUGCGUAGGCGGUCGGAUAAGUUAGAGGUGAAAUCCCGAGGCUCAACUUCGGAAUUGCCUCUGAUACUGUUCGGCUAGAGAGUAGUUGCGGUAGGCGGAAUGUAUGGUGUAGCGGUGAAAUGCUUAGAGAUCAUACAGAACACCGAUUGCGAAGGCAGCUUACCGAGCUACUUCUGACGUUGAGGCACGAAAGCGUGGGGAGCAAACAGG
rnacentral:rRNA from 1 species